rnacentral:pre_miRNA from 1 species
GUUAUACUCCCUCCGUCCGAAAAUGCUUGUCAUCAAAAUGGACAAAAAGGGAUGUAUCUAAAACUAAAAUACAUCUAGAUACAUCCCUUUUAUCCAUUUUGAUGACAAGUAUUUCCGGACGGAGGGAGAAUAUA